GUUAAAUUUCUAUACGAAGCGGAUCCCUGUUUUUUUCUGCUGGACUUGUGAUGUAAAUCAGCUGUAAACUUCGUCGCGAUUGGAUCGAAAUGAUAAGGUGGAUUUCUAGUUCCCACAUUUUUAUGCCAAUCGAAUGAAAUAUUUUGGAAAAAGACCAGACGUAUAACAGCCUAACGGAAAUUCCUUUUGUCUUCAGUAACACCCAAAUUGCUGGCUUUGCACUUGGAAUGUGGUAUAUUGAAAACAGAAUUCAAGAAAAAUGGAUAACGGAUGUAAACAAGGAAUGUGAUUCUCUCGGAUUUAACCGGAAUAAUCAACUUUCGGCUGACGGACGCACUUGAUGGGAAACAUUUGAAGAUAUCCAUAACUGUACAACGAUGAAAUCUGAUGUCGUCAAGAUACAGGUCGACAAAUUAUGACAUUUUCUUCUUCAUAAACUUUUGUUGUUCCCGAUUAGUUGUCAGAUGAGUUUCAUGGUACGCUGUACGUUAGCAGAGACCACCAUUACUCCACCAUACUCUUUUCUCAUGUCCUUCACAGCGCGCGCGAAACCAACUACAUUGAGGGAACAUUCCAUAGCAUUGGCGAUGGCAAAGAUGAUACCGAUUGAACCGCCAAUCUCAGGACCGAGUACUAUAGACUUGUGUUGCAGGAAGGCAACGUCUAAGCUGUUGAUUUCCAAAGGCAGUUUGAAAAAUGACGUCUAAUCUGGUAAAACUUA